rnacentral:rRNA from 1 species
UUCUGGCUCAGGAUGAACGCUGGCGGCGUGCCUAACACAUGCAAGUCGAGCGAUUACUUCGGUAAAGAGCGGCGGACGGGUGAGUAACGCGUGGGUAACCUGCCUCAUACACAUGGAUAACAUACCGAAAGGUAUGCUAAUACAGGAUAAUAUAAGAGAUUCACAUGGAUUUCUUAUCAAAGCUCCGGCGGUAUGAGAUGGACCCGCGUCUGAUUAGCUAGUUGGUAAGGUAAUGGCUUACCAAGGCGACGAUCAGUAGCCGACCUGAGAGGGUGAUCGGCCACAUUGGAACUGAGACACGGUCCAAACUCCUACGGGAGGCAGCAGUGGGGAAUAUUGCACAAUGGGCGAAAGCCUGAUGCAGCAACGCCGCGUGAGUGAUGAAGGCCUUCGGGUCGUAAAACUCUGUCCUCAAGGAAGAUAAUGACGGUACUUGAGGAGGAAGCCCCGGCUAACUACGUGCCAGCCGCGGC